rnacentral:rRNA from 1 species
UACAGAGGGCUCAAGCGUUGUUCGGAUUCAUUGGGCGUAAAGGGUGCGUAGGUGGCGCCGUAAGUCAGGUGUGAAAUUUCGGAGCUUAACUCCGAAACUGCAUUUGAUACUGCGGUGCUUGAGGACUGGAGAGGAGACUGGAAUUUACGGUGUAGCAGUGAAAUGCGUAGAGAUCGUAAGGAAGACCAGUGGCGAAGGCGGGUCUCUGGACAGUUCCUGACGCUGAGGCGCGAAAGCCAGGGGAGCGAACGGG